ACAGGAAGUUAAAUGACUCUUUGUAUCCUGAAACAGAAACCUCAGGAAGAAAUCCCUCUGAUUUAUAGAAAGAUUGAGACAACCCAUGACUCCAUCUUACACAAUCACAUGAGCACCAAGAACCUGCCUGAGACUGAAGUUUUCACAGCAUUGUAAGAUUAUAAUACUGUGCUAAAUCCAGCCAUAACUGAAACAAUGCACAAGGAGGAUGAGCAGCGGCAGAAACCUGUACUUCACAAAAGAGGGAAAAACUUAUUGGAGGGGGUGAAAGAAGAUAAAGACAUGUUUAGGCACAGAGUUAAAAGUCUCCCUGAGAACCGACCUAACAUGAGAAGAGAAAACAGGAAUGCUGGUGACCGGAAGGAUGCAGAAGCUUGGACAAAACCGGACAUUUAAGUGGAAUGAGUGGGAAAAUGCAUUAUUUGCAGGGGGUCAAGCAUGUACUGCAGAAAACCUAUUGUAAUUGUAGGGAUUUUUAUUAUUAUUAUUAUUAUUCUAAUUAUUAUGCAUAUAAUAAUAAUAAUAAUAAUAAUAAUAAACAUCAUUUCACACAUUUUGACCAAAACAAAUACAUUCCCAUUGACAUAUUCGCUCUACGAAUUCCUUUUUCCCCCACAAAAUUGAGUUAUGUCCAAAACCUACUUUUGCGAACUAGUUCUAGGUUUUUGCCCGAUUGGAACCAACCCAGUGCAGAAAUGUUCCCUGGGGCCACUUUUACUAAAAUGGCUAUAACUGUUGAACCGAAUGAGAUAUCAUUACUAAACUCCGUAGACAUGUGCAUCAUCUCACCCUGUGCUUUAGGUGCUUGAACCCCAGUAAUCGCUGCUUGCUGUAUCUGCACAUUUGAUAAAAUAAGCUAUGACAUUAUCUUCCUUGUUUAGGUCUAUAGGACCAGGGAUGAUUGCAUAUGGAAAACUUUAUGAAAUUGGGUGAUGGGAGGACAGUUCUCUCCUGGUCAAAUGACAGCUUCUACUAUGUAGAGUAAAAAAAAAUAUUAAAUCAAACAGAAAUCAGUAGUGGAAAUUUCAAGCAUUAAUAAACCAAUUUAUAAUUUUUUGUGUCAUCAGGUAUUAUUAGUCAUCGAAGGUGCAAUUUGUGUAGUUUUAUAAGGAAAUUUGUUUAAAAAAAAAAAAAAAACUGUCCUAAAGAGUAAUGUUUUUUAAAUAUAAAACCCUUUGCCGUUGUAAUGUUUUACAUUCAGAUCAUUAUUACAUCAUUUGGUAGUAAUGUAUAUUAUAUUUUUAUGUUAAUAAAAUGUCUUUUGGAAAAAUA